rnacentral:rRNA from 1 species
UUGGAGGGCAAGUCUGGUGCCAGCAGCCGCGGUAAUUCCAGCUCCAAUAGCGUAUAUUAAAGUUGUUGCAGUUAAAAAGCUCGUAGUUGAAUUUCGGGGUCAGUAGAUUGGUCAUGCCACUGGUAUGUACUGGUCUCACAGAUUCCUCCUUCCUGAUGAGCCGUAAUGCCAUUAAUUUGGUGUUGCGAGGAAUCUGGACUGUUACUUUGAAAAAAUUAGAGUGUUUAAAGCAGGCUGACGCUUGAAUACAUUAGCAUGGAAUAAUGAAAUAGGACGUUCGAUCUUAUUUUGUUGGUUUCUAAGAUUGACGUAAUGAUUAAUAGGGAUAGUUGGGGGCAUUAGUAUUCAAUUGUCAGAGGUGAAAUUCUUGGAUUUAUUGAAGACUAACUACUGCGAAAGCAUUUGCCAAGGAUGUUUUCAUUAAUCAAGAACGAAAGUUAGGGGAUCGAAGACGAUCAGAUACCGUCGUAGUCUUAACCAUAAACUAUGCCGACUAGGGAUCGGAUGAUGUUAAUUUUUUAAUGACUCAUUCGGCGCCUUACGGGAAACA